rnacentral:pre_miRNA from 10 species
GUAUAUAUACACAUAUAUACGUAUAUAUGUGUGUGUAUAUAUAUACAUAUAUACGUAUAUAUGUGUGUGUAUAUA